AAAAGACGAGAAGACCCUAUAGAUCUUUAUUUUUGUUAAUUAUAAAUUAAAAAGAAUAAUUAAAUUUAUAUUUUAAUAAAAAAUUUUACUGGGGUGGUAUUAAAAUUUAAAAAACUUUUAUUUUUAAUUUACAUUAAUUUAUGAAUAUUUGAUCCAGUUAUAUUGAUUAAAAAAUUAAGUUACCUUAGGGAUAACAGCGUAAUUUUUUUUUAGAGUUCUUAUCGACAAAAAAGAUUGCGACCUCGAUGUUGGAUUAAGAGUUAUUUUUAGGUGUAGAAGUUUAAAGUUUAGGUCUGUUCGACCUUUGAAUUCUUACAUGAUCUGAGUUCAAACCGGCGUAAGCCAGGUUGGUUUCUAUCUUU
rfam:Aedes aegypti strain Liverpool supercont1.593 genomic scaffold, whole genome shotgun sequence.